rnacentral:rRNA from 1 species
UACGGAGGGUGCGAGCGUUGUCCGGAAUCACUGGGCGUAAAGGGCGCGUAGGCGGCGCGGGAAGUCAUCGGUGAAAGCUCAGGGCUCAACUCUGAGCCUGCUUCCGAUACGGGCUGACUAGAGGUAUGCAGGGGAGAACGGAAUUCCUGGUGUAGCGGUGAAAUGCGUAGAUAUUGGGAGGAACACCAGUGGCGAAGGCGGCUCACUGGACCGGAACUGACGCUGAGGCGCGAAAGCGUGGGGAGCAAACGGG